ACCGCCUCAGUGAAACAAGCUGGCAGCACUAUGGGAUGCCAAGUCUGCUCCUGCGAUCGCCCACCUCCUAACACCACGCCAAGGGUUGCCCACCACUCUAGAAAGAUAGGUUCAAACUCUCCCUGAGGAAGACCCCAAUCUGACCCUGGACUAAAGAGAGAAAGAAGGGCCUGAGGGACAACCUUUCUUAUCAUGAACUGAAACCCACAAUCCAGUUCUUCUUUUUUUUUUUUUAAACUAAAUUGCUAAUUUAAUAGGAUUUACAGAAUGUGGGCUUUUCUGAUUCUCUUGCUUUCCAUAUUCUUAGUCAACAGUCUUCUAUACAGUAGAACAGCCAUCAUUUGGACCUAUUUGGCUUCCUUAAGAUACAUUUUUAGGAAGAUUUUGGGAAGUUUGGAUGUUUAAUUUGCUCCUCAAACACAAUUUUCAAACUAGGAAGUGAGUGUUCUAUGACUUCAAAUGAGAACUCGCUCAACAGAUUUUUUUAAAAACGCUUUUGAGUCAUUCAAAAGCUGUUUCUACCUCCUUCUUUGCAGGUCUCAGAAUUCCUGGGAGGCCUUUUGUUUUCCUAAUGAGAAAUGGUGGAGCAGUGGAUGUGCUGACACUGUCUCUCCUCUUGCUGUGCCUUCCAUGCAGAUGCCUGAAGCCUUGGAGGAGCUGAAUGGUAGAGUUUCCUGUGUCUUCCAGUGGAGAAGAAAACACCAUCCAGAAUCCUUGCUCAAUCACAGAUGAGUGCUUGACACAAGUGUCAUGUUGUCUGUCAUCUGACCCAUGGGGGCUUCCUCCUCCCUUCACCUUCUUUCCCUGAUGUCGGAAGUCCUGGGGUGCUAAACCCUGCCUGUGCGUCUUCUGCCAAGCUGUUGACUGUUGGCAUCUUUAUUCACCACCAGCCCAGAUCUUUAUUUUUCUUUGCACGUGCUUUCAAUUCCCAUGAUCCUUCUGUAUCCUGCUUACUGAGGCCUUUAGUGCCCCAUUUUCCCCAAUAUGUCCCACAAUCCAGUUCUUUAAAGUCCUUUGGAAAUUUCCUGGCAAAACCAGGUAGUAUAAAGCCAGGCACAGGUAAUAUCACCUAUAAGUGAACAGUAUUUAUCAGCAUCUUAAAGCCUGAAUUUCAGUAGCCCAUUACUGCUGGGACAGGAUGUAGGAAUAAGGCAACCAAAUACUUUUCCUCCAGGCUAGCAGUUUCCCACCUGUAAGCACGAGCCUUCAGGAGAGAGAUGGCUCACAUUGCUCUCCUGUGAGUCUGGGUCUUGGACCAGGCAGGCUAUGGUGGGGCGGUGGGGGGCUUGGAGUUGCCACCUAGGGGCCAUUUGAAUGACAAGACUGGCUCUUAUGGAGUGACCACCAAAAGAACUACUUAUUGGGGGGAAGCUAGAGAUCCACCGGUGUGUUAGGCCCUUGCCUCUAACCCUCACACCACCUGCAUCCUGAGGACCGAGGGAGCCUGUGACCUCUGCCCUCUGUUCUUGCCCAGGUUCUUGGAGUGGGGACAAGUUUAACGAUGACUUUAGCACCCCUCCAGCUAGGCAGGUUAGGAGAUUCCAAUCUCUCUCACAGCCAAGGAAACCAAGUGGGGAGGGAUCUUUCUCUGCAGCUACAUAAUCCUGGAUUACAGUGAUAACCCCUUCAUCUCAGGUAAACGGAUCAAGGAAAAGGACUGGAGACAGACCUGACAAGCUCUGGGCUGCAGGCAGGGAAGGGAAAGUAGGCAGCAUGCAAAAGGGGUCGCUUUGACAGUCAAGGACAGACAUUACUACUGCUGCCCUGAGAAGUGUGGAGGAAGAGUGGGUCUGAACUGGCUGUAGAUCGAGGGUUUGUGAAGGCACACCCUUCUUCAGUCCAUAGGCCACCCACAGAAUGAAACCUAAAGAAGGGGUUUGCAGUGUGCUCCAGGAAUCCUCACCCCUGGACUAUCCCUGCCCACAAGUGUCAUCUGGUGAGUGCCCUCAGGGGUAAGUCUCAGUUUCUUCAAAGGCUAACAAGGGCUCAGCUGUUAGAAAUAGUCCCUCCAAAGACAGUAAAUUCCACAAAUGUUAGCCCGCAUUACUGUUGUGUCUAUUAUUAGUCCUAGUGUUACUCCCACCCCUUCGCUCUGGGUCGGGGAUCCCUGCACAUGAACUAAGGUCAUCUGCCAGUGAGGCUACACUGCGGCUGGCAAGGAGAAGCCAUGGAUAGAAGUGAAGUCGGGGGGAGCUUGAGAGGGCUUACUGGGUUUGCUCCAGACCUGCAAAAGCCUUUGAUGGGCUCUGUGGAAAAGGUGACUCCCACAGCACAGGGGGCAGGAAGAUGCUGGCAGGGAGCAGAGGAAAGCCAAUGCCCUUCUCUACACAGAGGAGGAAGAAAGGGCUCCUAAGAAAAGGCCAUUGGCAGGUCAGAACUUAACACCAGUAAUGUAUCCUUCCAGAGAGGGCAGACCAGCUUUGUGCCACGUUCCCAAAGAAUGAAGAUACAUUCCUCACUGAGGCCCAGGACACGACCAGUUGUAUUCCUGUACUACCCCCAAGGAGUUCCACACCCAAGCCCAGUAGCUUCACAAUAACCCUAUGGACUAGAAGGUAACUAUGACGUCUCCAUUUCUCCUGUUAAAAGAGGUAGAAGCCUGCGCAGGGGAAGAGGCCUCCAGGACACUGAGCAGAUGGGGAACUGAAGCAUAGAGAAAUUACAUCACAUAGAUGCCACAGGGGGAGCCAAGUUUGUAACCAGAACCUUGCCAUUCCAAGCCAGGACUCUUCAAGGACAGUGAGCCUUUAACUGCACGCCCUGGUUCUCAGAUAUUUGUUGACUUCCUCUGCUGUCUCAGGGACUCGAAGCACCACAAACUGUGAGCCUGAGGAAUUUCCACCAGCACUGAAGCGGGAGGGCACAGGCUAUACACUUCUGUUGGAGCUUCAGGCCAUUGAACAUAGACAGCAGAGCUGAACUCACAUCCCAGUUCUGAGAUAGGCUGGAAAUUCAGAGAUGAAACAGAUAUCAGCCAUGAGUGUGUGGGGAUCCUGUGAGACCAGCUGAAGCAAAAGAGAAAGGCCCAGGAUGGGUUAGUUCUGCCUGUGGAUGACGCAAGCUACCAUGAGAAGGUAUUGCUAUGUUUCCCAGCUGACCUCAAACUCACAGUCCUCCUGCUUCAGCAUCUGGAGUACUUGGAAUUACAACCAUGCUUCACCACAUCUCACUUUUGUCUGGGGUGUUACAUCGUCAUCAAAAACCACAACUGAUGCACAGAAGAAAAAGAUAUCCCAGAAGAAAUGGAAGAAACAAAUACUCCUGAAUGGGAAUAAAUUCAGCAUAAAAUAAAUGCAGAUAAAGUAAAAAAAAACCAAACAAACAAAUGAACAAAAACAAAAACAAAAAACACCAAAAAAUGCAACCGAUACUAUUUUAGUUUCUAAAAUCUCAAGAAUUGUUUUUAUGAACCAUGGGUGCCAAGUUUGAGUCCACUAGGACUGUCCAAAGCCUCAGGCUCAUGACCAAGGACUUAGGGUGAUGAACACUCAGGACCCCUAAAGGUCGACCUGGACGGUGGUUCUGAGUUCACUGUCUCACAUCACUUUAAAGAUGCAGACACUCAUGGGGGAUGAAGUAGAAGUAAGCUUUGUCAAGAAGAAUUAUAGAAAAGUUAAAAGCCGAGGAAAGGGAGAUAAACGUAGAGGGGGAUUAACAAGAGAGGAAAGCCUUAAACUUCUUUGCCUUGUGUUUCUAUAGGGCUAGUGCAGAACCUGGACAAGGCUGAGGCCAUUGCUAUGCGAUUGGUUCGUGGGCUCUUGUGAGCUGAGUCUAUGGCGGAUCCUCGCUCUAUGUCUGUUUGCCAUGGCUCUGACAGGUGGAUGCUGUUUGUGCUCCGCUUGUCCGCCUAAGGCUGUCUGACUUGUGCUGUGCUAGCUGCUGACCGUGACUGUAUGCUAGUGCGAGCCCUGGGCUGACCUUGCAGGUGUCUGCCUGUUAAGUACAUUCUGCUUUCCUUGUUCUCCCGUGCUCACGAUGAGCUUGGAGCUGCACCACGACCUACCGAGAGUUUCUUCUACCACAGUCGCCAACAUGUCUCUGCGAUCUUUUUCCGUUACCCCAGCUUUAGCGCCUGGUCUCUGGAGGCCUCCGACGGAGUGUUUUACAACUUGGUCUGUUACAACUGAUCGCAUUAGAAGCAAGAAUAUAUGAAAGCAGGCUCGGUGACUAAGAAUGCUUGUUGCUCUUGCAGAGGACCCAGCACCCACAUGGCAGCUCACAAUCAUCUGUAAUCCAGUUCCGGAGGACCCAGCAUCCUGUGUGGGUGCCUGGCACACACAUGGUACGCAUGCAGCAUAGGCAAAACACGUAAAAUGCAAAUACAUUUUAAAACGAGAGAAUAUAUGAAAGGAUAACAGUGCCGUGAGGGCUCCAGGGUGGAGGGAAGUUGGCUCACCUUCGCUGCCCAGAGCUCUUUUCUUCCCCUCACAUGCAUAGCUUUGUUGUCUCAUACCCGGUGUCGAGCCCUCUUACCCACCUUCCUUUGCGCUCACCUUGCUGUUUUAAGCCCGGCCUCUGCUUGCACUGCAACCUAUGUGAGCAGUCUGCAGUUUUCACUACAGGCCCUUUCUCUUGCUAUGUACGGAGAGCUGGAUCCUGCGUUGCUCUCUCCUGAUCUAGUGUAGAGGAUGUUCCACGAGCCAAUGCUAUGUUCCGCGCACUGACAUAUAGCCCGCGGCUGUUGGACCGGAUGUCCUGCAGGUGUCUGUAAGGUCCAUUUGGCCUGGGGACCAAUUGUACCCUGGAGUUUGUUGCCUUUGUGCUUGUCUGACUGGCCCAUUGAUGAAAGUGGGUUGCUCACCUGCUUUGUAUGGGAGUCUCUCUCUUCCCUUACGUCUACUGAUACACGCCUCAUAUCUGAUUGCUUUCUUCAUCCCCUAGAGUGGUGAAGUAAUUUACUCUAGUAGUGUGUUCUGAUUUAUUGUGAUAUUUGGGUUGUCUCCUAUGGCUUUUUGCUUUCUGGUUACUAUGAGGCUGACAAGGACCUAUGUGGGUAGCAAUACAAUUUUUUAAAAUAAAAGUUUAACAUUACCAUAAA
rnacentral:sRNA from 1 species